rnacentral:rRNA from 1 species
CUUGCUCCCUGAUGUUAGCGGCGGACGGGUGAGUAACACGUGGGUAACCUGCCUGUAAGACUGGGAUAACUCCGGGAAACCGGGGCUAAUACCGGAUGGUUGUUUGAACCGCAUGGUUCAGACAUAAAAGGUGGCUUCGGCUACCACUUACAGAUGGACCCGCGGCGCAUUAGCUAGUUGGUGAGGUAACGGCUCACCAAGGCGACGAUGCGUAGCCGACCUGAGAGGGUGAUCGGCCACACUGGGACUGAGACACGGCCCAGACUCCUACGGGAGGCAGCAGUAGGGAAUCUUCCGCAAUGGACGAAAGUCUGACGGAGCAACGCCGCGUGAGUGAUGAAGGUUUUCGGAUCGUAAAGCUCUGUUGUUAGGGAAGAACAAGUGCCGUUCAAAUAGGGCGGCACCUUGACGGUACCUAACCAGAAAGCCACGGCUAACUACGUGCCAGCAGCCGCGGUAAUACGUAGGUGGCAAGCGUUGUCCGGAAUUAGUGGGCGUAAAGGGCUCGCAGGCGGUUUCUUAAGUCUGAUGUGAAAGCCCCCGGCUCAACCGGGGAGGGUCAUUGGAAACUGGGGAACUUGAGUGCAGAAGAGGAGAGUGGAAUUCCACGUGUAGCGGUGAAAUGCGUAAAGAUGUGGAGGAACACCAUUGG